CCCGUCUCCUCUCUCUCUCCUCUGUCCCUUGGAGCACCCCGUCUCCUCUCUCUCUCCUCUGUCCCCUGGAGCACCCCGUCUCCUCUCUCUCUCCUCUGUCCCCUGGAGCACCCCGUCUCCUCUCUCUCUCCUCUGUCCCCUGGAGCACCCCGUCUCCUCUCUCUCCUCUGUCCCCUGGAGCACCCCGUCUCCUCUCUCUCUCCUCUGUCCCCUGGAGCACCCCAUCUCCUCUCUCUCUCCUCUGUCCCCUGGAGCACCCCGUCUCCUCUCUCUCUCCUCUGUCCCUUGGAGCACCCCGUCUCCUCUCUCUCUCCUCUGUCCCUUGGAGCACCCCGUCUCCUCUCUCUCUCCUCUGUCCCCUGGAGCACCCCGUCUCCUCUCUCUCUCCUCUGUCCCCUGGAGCACCCUGUCUCCUCUCUCUCUCCUCUGUCCCCUGGAGCACCCCGUCUCCUCUCUCUCCUCUGUCCCCUGGAGCACCCCAUCUCCUCUCUCUCUCUCCUCUGUCCCCUGGAGCACCCCGUCUCCUCUCUCCUCCUCCAUCGACUCAGCAUCUUAUGCGGUGCAGCUAGAGGACACGCUUGUUGUGCUCUUGAAGCUCUGUCUUUAAGAAAUGCAGAUUUGAGCGGUUGAUACAAACCCUCUGUCAGGUCUGGGUUUCUGUUUCAGGAUCAACUCUGCUUUCUAAUUUCUACUUUCAUAUUAUUUCCUCACCUGAGAAUCAUGUACUAACUGAAUACUAAACAGCAUCUACUAUAUAUGAUGUUGACCUUUGACCCACUCAAGCCGAGAUAAUCUAUCUCAGUAAUAGAACUGAGUGAAGGUAUUGUAGGACAUCGUGAUCCCCACUCAACCUUAUGAGUGCCUUUUUCAGAUGGACUCAGGCUUGGUGCCCUUUAGACAGAGUGAACCAGUGGCCCAGAGAGCAUCAUGGACUACCACUGUGGAGUGAGGUGAUGGAUACUCGGCUCUCUCUCUGUCUCUCUCUCUCUCUCUCUGUCUGUCUCUUUCUCUGUCUCUCUCUGUCUCUCUCGCUCUCGCAUAAAGCAACACAAUGGCUCUGGAGAAUUAGAAUAUUUUAUGAUUGGGUACAUCCCAUUCAUUUGGACUUGUGUAUCCCUCUAAUAACAGUUUUGAUUUGUAUUCUUUUCUCUUCCAUUCAGUUUGGUUUCAAAUAACACUUUGCCUACAUGUUGUUCAUGCGUUACUAAUUUAACUGGUCAGAUGGUUUGUUUACAUCAUAUGCUUUUAUAUCUAGUUGUUGUUUAGACAAGACUCAUAUCUGCUGUCCAGUGUUCAGUCCUCAUUACCUGGCCCGUAGUGGUUGCAGAAAUGUGACAUCAUAUGUAUAGUAGAGUGGGUAUGAUGGGUGAUGUCCCAGACCAGAUAUAGUAGAGUGGGUAUGAUGGGUGAUGUCCUAGACCAGAUAUAGUAGAGUGGGUAUGAUGGGUGACUGGGGUGAUGUCCUAGACCAGAUAUAGUAGAGUGGGUAUAAUGGGUGAUGUCCUAGACCAGAUAUAGUAGAGUGGGUAUGAUGGGUGACUGGGGUGAUGUCCUAGACCAGAUAUAGUAGAGUGGGUAUGAUGGGUGAUGUCCCAGACCAGAUAUAGUAGAGUGGGUAUGAUGGGUGAUGUCCUAGACCAGAUAUAGUAGAGUGGGUAUGAUGGGUGACUGGGGUGAUGUCCUAGACCAGAUAUAGUAGAGUGGGUAUGAUAUGUGAUGUCCUAGACCUGAUAUAGUAGGGUGGGUAUGAUGGGUGACUGGGGUGAUGUUCUAGACCUGAUAUAGUAGAGUGGGUAUGAUGGGUGAUGUCCUAGACCAGGUAUACUAGAGUGGGUAUGAUGGGUGAUGUCCUAGACCAGAUAUAGUAGAGUGGGUAUGAUGGGUGAUGUCCUAGACCUGAUAUAGUAGAGUGGGUAUGAUGGGUGAUGUCCUAGACCAGGUAUAGUAGAGUGGGUAUGAUGGGUGAUGUCCUAGACCAGAUGUAGUAGAGUGGGUAUGAUGGGUGAUGUCCUAGACCAGAUGUAGUAGAGUGGGUAUGAUGGGUGAUGUCCUAGACCAGAUGUAGUAGAGUGGGUAUGAUGGGUGAUGUCCCAGACCAGAUAUAGUAGAGUGGGUAUGAUGGGUGAUGUCCUAGACCAGAUAUAGUAGAGUGGGUAUGAUGGGUGACUGGGGUGAUGUCCUAGACCAGAUAUAGUAGAGUGGGUAUAAUGGGUGAUGUCCUAGACCAGAUAUAGUAGAGUGGGUAUGAUGGGUGACUGGGGUGAUGUCCUAGACCAGAUAUAGUAGAGUGGGUAUGAUGGGUGAUGUCCCAGACCAGAUAUAGUAGAGUGGGUAUUAUGGGUGAUGUCCUAGACCAGAUAUAGUAGAGUGGGUAUGAUGGGUGACUGGGGUGAUGUCCUAGACCAGAUAUAGUAGAGUGGGUAUGAUGGGUGAUGUCCUAGACCUGAUAUAGUAGGGUGGGUAUGAUGGGUGACUGGGGUGAUGUUCUAGACCUGAUAUAGUAGAGUGGGUAUGAUGGGUGAUGUCCUAGACCUAUGUAUACUAGAGUGGGUAUGAUGGGUGAUGUCCUAGACCAGAUAGAGUAGAGUGGGUAUGAUGGGUGAUGUCCUAGACCUGAUAUAGUAGAGUGGGUAUGAUGGGUGAUGUCCUAGACCAGAUGUAGUAGAGUGGGUAUGAUGGGUGAUGUCCUAGACCAGAUGUAGUAGAGUGGGUAUGAUGGGUGAUGUCCUAGACCUGAUAUAGUAGAGUGGGUAUGAUGGGUGAUGUCCUAGACCAGAUGUAGUAGAGUGGGUAUGAUGGGUGACUGGGGUGAUGUCCUAGACCUGAUAUAGUAGGGUCGGUAUGAUGGGUGACUUGGGUGAUGUCCUAGACCAGGUAUAGUAGAGUGGGUAUAAUGGGUGAUGUCCUAGACCAGAUAUAGUAGAGUGGGUAUGAUGGGUGACUGGGGUGAUGUCCUAGACCUGAUAUAGUAGAGUGGGUAUAAUGGGUGAUGUCCUAGACCAGAUAUAGUAGAGUGGGUAUGAUGGGUGACUGGGGUGAUGCCCUAGACCAGAUAUAGUAGAGUGGGUAUGAUGGGUGAUGUCCUAGACCUGAUAUAGUAGGGUGGGUAUGAUGGGUGAUGUCCUAGACCAGAUAUAGUAGAGUGGGUAUGAUGGGUGACUGGGGUGAUGUCCUAGACCAGAUAUAGUAGAGUGGGUAUGAUGGGUGAUGUCCUAGACCUGAUAUAGUAGGGUGGGUAUGAUGGGUGACUGGGGUGAUGUUCUAGACCUGAUAUAGUAGAGUGGGUAUGAUGGGUGAUGUCCUAGACCAGAUAUAGUAGAGUGGGUAUGAUGGGUGAUGUCCCAGACCAGAUAUAGUAGAGUGGGUAUUAUGGGUGAUGUCCUAGACCAGAUAUAGUAGAGUGGGUAUGAUGGGUGACUGGGGUGAUGUCCUAGACCAGAUAUAGUAGAGUGGGUAUGAUGGGUGAUGUCCUAGACCUGAUAUAGUAGGGUGGGUAUGAUGGGUGACUGGGGUGAUGUUCUAGACCUGAUAUAGUAGAGUGGGUAUGAUGGGUGAUGUCCUAGACCUAUGUAUACUAGAGUGGGUAUGAUGGGUGAUGUCCUAGACCAGAUAUAGUAGAGUGGGUAUGAUGGGUGAUGUCCUAGACCUGAUAUAGUAGAGUGGGUAUGAUGGGUGAUGUCCUAGACCAGAUAUAGUAGAGUGGGUAUGAUGGGUGACUGGGGUGAUGUCCUAGACCAGAUAUAGUAGAGUGGGUAUAAUGGGUGAUGUCCUAGACCAGAUAUAGUAGAGUGGGUAUGAUGGGUGACUGGGGUGAUGUCCUAGACCAGAUAUAGUAGAGUGGGUAUGAUGGGUGAUGUCCCAGACCAGAUAUAGUAGAGUGGGUAUUAUGGGUGAUGUCCUAGACCAGAUAUAGUAGAGUGGGUAUGAUGGGUGACUGGGGUGAUGUCCUAGACCAGAUAUAGUAGAGUGGGUAUGAUGGGUGAUGUCCUAGACCUGAUAUAGUAGGGUGGGUAUGAUGGGUGACUGGGGUGAUGUUC
rnacentral:lncRNA from 1 species